CUGCGGUCGAUACAGUAGGGAUUAGUCAAGCAAAUGCCUUUUGGAAGUGGCUGCUUUCAACCUCCCGUGUAUAUUUGGAGUUCCACAUGGAAGACUGCAUGUGGAAACAAGAAAUACUGCAUAAUAUUGUAUAGAAAUACACAAAGUAAUAACUGGGAAUAAGCUCUCCCCCUCCAUCCCCAAACACUGAGUGAUACCGAUACCGCAAGUUAAUUCUCUAUAGACAUUAAACUUUGGGGUUUUAUGUGCCUGCAAUAGAUGGUAGUCCAGAGAACUCAGAUUUAAAACCUUUGUACUCCAUUUUAAUCUUUCAUGGAGACAUUUAUAAGUGAGGAAUCACUUGUCCUUGUCAAAGGAAUAUUUUCCUUUUAUAAUUCCACAGCUCACUAAUAAUAGAAAAUUCCCUAGGGAUAUUCAGAAGAAAUGCCUUUCAAUGUCAGUGCUAAGCAGUUUACAGUGUACUGACACAUGAAUUACAGAUAAAAAGGUGGACUUAACUUUUAAUACACAUGAGAAAACCCCAAAGCCAUCUGUCUGGUUAUUGCUUUUAUACAGGGAUUUUGCACCUCUCUUUGUCUUCUAGAAACAGGGCAUGAAGACACCAUCUACUCACCCCAUUGUCAUUACACUUCUGCUUUACAUCGCAGCUAUAGCCCAGAUUACUUGCAUCAACACAUUGAAAAUCCAAACAGGCCUGGAAAAAGCUGUUCCAUCAUGAACUUGAGCAGGAUCAGGGACAUCUGAUCCUAAGUCAAAGUCAGAAGACCAGCAUAAAACCCCAGAUGCGUUAUUGACAACGCUCCAGGCAGGAAGGUUUUGAAGACUAACAGAUGUGCACUGGAGCUUGCCACACAGACUAUGCCUGUAUUGAAUGAAAGACACUCAGAAACAAGGAUGUCCUUAGCGAUACUCCCACCAGUUUGAGGGCCAUGAACAUGAAGGCACAACCUACCCGCAGUGACACCACACACAAGCAAGAGCUCUGGAGACCCUUGGCUGCUGGAACAGACUGAGGAGGUGGCUUGGACUCCAGCUCUCAAGAGAGAAACAGAAAUGUAUUUACCCUCAAAAGC